ACAGAAUACCCAAGAAAUAGCCUUGGAUUGGAGCUGAAAAUAGAGAAUUACAAGAAGCCUCUCCACAACCUUUAACCUGACUUGUAGUUGUUCCAACAGCUAAUAGAACAAUUGCCAUCCACUGCAGAUUAGACAACUUCCUCCUCAAAAAUAACCUGAAUAAUAUGCCAGUGGUAACGAUCUUUAAAUUACCCAUUAUCUGAUAUGUAGAUGUAUCCACAAAAGUCAGUGUAGCAAACUGGACAUUGUUAUGAAUUAGAUAUAUCACCGACGGAAUAGGAUAUAAGCGCACAGUUUUCCAUUCUCUAGUCAUCCUCACAGAUGGUGAUAUCCGGUGCUCUCUCCAAAGAAAUAAACCAGAAACUACUAGCUUAAAAAAUUCAGCAAGAAAUGGUACAGUUGCAUAGUCGAACAAAUACCUUCCAUUACUUUGAGAUAGAGUUGUCAAAAUUCCCUGAGAACUAGUGAGAAUGGUGAGAAGCACAGCAACCAUGUACCACUGCAUCCUGCUCUCCUCUUCUGGGGUUAGCUGUG
rnacentral:misc_RNA from 1 species